rnacentral:rRNA from 1 species
UACGGGGGGGGCAAGCGUUGUUCGGAAUUACUGGGCGUAAAGGGCUCGUAGGUGGCCAACUAAGUCAGACGUGAAAUCCCUCAGCUUAACUGGGGAACUGCGUCUGAUACUGGAUGGCUUGAGUUUGGGAGAGGGAUGCGGAAUUCCAGGUGUAGCGGUGAAAUGCGUAGAUAUCUGGAGGAACACCGGUGGCGAAGGCGGCAUCCUGGACCAACACUGACACUGAUGAGCGAAGGCCAGGGGAGCAAACGGG